UGGGGUCCGGUGUGGUUUGGUCAGGCCGGCUAGAGUUCGGUCCAGUCCAGGACCACUUUGCCGCCCGUGCCGUUGCGGGCGAUCUCGA
rnacentral:tRNA from 1 species